UUCUGAAAGGAGAUGUUCUGAAAGGAGAUGUUCUGAAAGGAAGUGCUCUGAAAGGAGGUGCUCUGAAAUGAGGUGUUCUGAAAUGAGGUGUUCUGAAAGGAGGUGCUCUGAAAGGAGGUGUUCUGAAAGGAAGUGCUCUGAAAGGAAGUGCUCUGAAAGGAGGUGCUCUGAAAUGAGGUGCUCUGAAAUGAGGUGUUCUGAAAGGAGGUGCUCUGAAAGGAGGUGUUCUGAAAGGAAGUGCUCUGAAAGGAGGUGUUCUGAAAUGAGAUGUUCUGAAAGGAGAUGUUCUGAAAGGAGGUGCUCUGAAAGGAGGUACUUUGAAAGGAAGUGCUCUGAAAGGAGAUGUUCUGAAAGGAGGUGUUCUAAAAGGAAGUGCUCUGAAAGGAAGAUGCUGAA